AUUGCUUCUCAGCCUUUUGGCUGAGAUCAAGUGUAGGAUCUGUUCUUAGCAGUUUAAAAUACAUCCAGGAAAGGAGAGGGUAUGCUCUCUCUCCACUGCUUAAGUAACCUGAGUUAAAUGAAGUGUUGGAAGCUGCAGUAGAGCCUGGUUUUCUCACCGUCU
ensembl:snRNA U2 U2 spliceosomal RNA